rnacentral:rRNA from 1 species
GACGAACGCUGGCGGCGUGCUUAACACAUGCAAGUCGAACGGAAAGGCCCUGCUUUUGUGGGGUGCUCGAGUGGCGAACGGGUGAGUAACACGUGAGUAACCUGCCCUUGACUUUGGGAUAACUUCAGGAAACUGGGGCUAAUACCGGAUAGGAGCUCCUGCUGCAUGGUGGGGGUUGGAAAGUUUCGGCGGUUGGGGAUGGACUCGCGGCUUAUCAGCUUGUUGGUGGGGUAGUGGCUUACCAAGGCUUUGACGGGUAGCCGGCCUGAGAGGGUGACCGGCCACAUUGGGACUGAGAUACGGCCCAGACUCCUACGGGAGGCAGCAGUGGGGAAGAUUGCACAAUGGGCGGAAGCCUGAUGCAGCAACGCCGCGCGCGGGAUGACGGCCUUCGGGUUGUAAACCGCUUUCGCCUGUGACGAAGCGUGAGUGACGGUAAUGGGUAAAGAAGCACCGGCUAACUACGUG